UGUCUGAGUAUUUCAGAAACUGCUGAUCUACUGGGAUUUUCACGCACAACCAUCUCUAGGGUUUACAGAGAAUGGUCCGAAAAAGAAAAAAUAUCCAGUGAGCGGCAGUUCUGUGGGCGGAAAUGCCUUGUUGAUGCCAGAGGUCAGAGGAGAAUGGCCAGACUGGUUCGAGCUGAUAAAAAGGCAACAGUGACUCAAAUAACCACCCGUUUCAACCAAGGUAGGCAGAAGAGCAUCUCUGAACGCACAGUACGUCGAACUUUGAGGCAGAUGGGCUACAGCAGCAGAAGACCACACCGGGUGCCACUCCUUUCAGCUAAGAACAGGAAACUGAGGCUACAAUUUGCACAAGCUCAUCGAAAUUGG